UACGAGGGGGGCAAAUGUUGUUCGGAAUCACUGGGCGUAAAGGGAGCGUAGGCGGGUUUUUAAGUCAGGUGUUUAAUCCCGGGGCCCAACCCCGGACAGGCACUUGAAACUGGGAAUCUUGAAUAGUGGAGAGGUCGGUGGAAUUGGAGGUGUAGCGGUGGAAUGCGUAGAGAUCUCCAAGAACACCCGUUGCGAAGGCGGCCGACUGGACACAUAUUGACGCUGAGGCUCGAAAGCAUGGGGAGCGAACAGGA
rnacentral:rRNA from 1 species